rnacentral:rRNA from 1 species
GACGAACGCUGGCGGCGUGCUUAACACAUGCAAGUCGAACGGAAAGGCCCUGCUUUUGUGGGGUGCUCGAGUGGCGAACGGGUGAGUAACACGUGAGUAACCUGCCCUUGACUUUGGGAUAACUUCAGGAAACUGGGGCUAAUACCGGAUAGGAGCUCCUGCUGCAUGGUGGGGGUUGGAAAGUUUCGGCGGUUGGGGAUGGACUCGCGGCUUAUCAGCUUGUUGGUGGGGGAGUGGCUUACCAAGGCUUUGACGGGUAGCCGGCCUGAGAGGGUGACCGGCCACAUGGGGACUGAGAUACGGCCCAGACUCCUACGGGGGGCAGCAGUGGGGAAUAUUGCACAAUGGGCGGAAGCCUGAUGCAGCAACGCCGCGUGCGGGAUGACGGCCUUCGGGUUGGAAACCGCUUUCGCCUGUGACGAAGCGUGAGUGACGGUAAUGGGUAAAGAAGCACCGGCUAACUACGUG